rnacentral:rRNA from 1 species
UACGAGGGGGGCGAGCGUUGUUCGGAAUUAUUGGGCGUAAAGGGUGCGUAGGCGGUUUGGUAAGUCUUAUGUGAAAUCUACAGGCUCAACUUGUAGUCUGCAUGAGAAACUGCCGGGCUUGAGUGUGGGAGAGGUGAGUGGAAUUCCUGGUGUAGCGGUGAAAUGCGUAGAUAUCAGGAGGAGCACCUGUGGCGAAAGCGGCUCACUGGACCAUAACUGACGCUGAUGCACGAAAGCUAGGGGAGCAAACAGG